rnacentral:rRNA from 1 species
CACGGGGGGAGCAAGCGUUGUUCGGAAUCACUGGGCGUAAAGGGCGUGUAGGCGGUCAGGUAAGUGGAAUGUGAAAGCCCCCGGCUUACCCGGGGAUCUGCAUCCCAUACUGCUUGGCUUGAGUACGGGAGAGGAUAGGGGAAUUCCUGGUGUAGCGGUGAAAUGCGUAGAUAUCAGGAGGAACACCGGUGGCGAAGGCGCCUAUCUGGCCCGAUACUGACGCUGAGGCGCGAAAGCUAGGGGAGCAAACGGG